rnacentral:rRNA from 1 species
AAUACAUUUGAUGGCGACCGGCAAACGGGUGCGGAACACGUACACAACCUUCCUAUAAGUGGGGAAUAGCCCAGAGAAAUUUGGAUUAAUACCCCGUAACAUAAUGAUGUGGCAUCACAUUAUUAUUAUAGCUACGGCGCUUAUUGAUGGGUGUGCGGCUGAUUAGAUAGUUGGCGGGGUAACGGCCCACCAAGUCUACGAUCAGUAGCUGAUGUGAGAGCAUGAUCAGCCACACGGGCACUGAGACACGGGCCCGACUCCUACGGGAGGCAGCAGUAAGGAAUAUUGGUCAAUGGACGCAAGUCUGAACCAGCCAUGCCGCGUGAAGGAUUAAGGUCCUCUGAAUUGUGAACUUCUUUUAUCUGGGACGAAAAAAGGCGAUUCUUCGUCACUUGACGGUACCAGAUGAAUAAGCACCGGCUAACUCCGUGCCAGCAGCCGCGGUAAUACGGAGGGUGCAAGCGUUAUCCGGAUUCACUGGGUUUAAAGGGUGCGUAGGCGGGCAGGUAAGUCAGUGGUGAAAUCCUGGAGCUUAACUCCAGAACUGCCAUUGAUACUAUCUGUCUUGAAUAUUGUGGAGGUAAGCGGAAUAUGUCAUGUAGCGGUGAAAUGCUUAGAUAUGACAUAGAACACCUAUUGCGAAGGCAGCUUACUACGCAUAUAUUGACGCUGAGGCACGAAAGCGUGGGGAUCAAACAGGAUUAGAUACCCUGGUAGUCCACGCCCUAAACGACGGAUACUCGACAUACGCGAUACACUGUGUGUGUCUGAGCGAAAGCAUUAAGUAUCCCACCUGGGAAGUACGACCGCAAGGUUGAAACUCAAAGGAAUUGGCGGGGGUC